rnacentral:rRNA from 1 species
AGCGAACGCUGGCGGCAGGCUUAACACAUGCAAGUCGAGCGGGCACUUCGGUGUCAGCGGCAGACGGGUGAGUAACACGUGGGAACGUACCCUUCGGUUCGGAAUAACGCUGGGAAACUAGCGCUAAUACCGGAUACGCCCUUUUGGGGAAAGGUUUACUGCCGAAGGAUCGGCCCGCGUCUGAUUAGCUAGUUGGUGGGUAAUGGCCUACCAAGGCGACGAUCAGUAGCUGGUCUGAGAGGAUGAUCAGCCACACUGGGACUGAGACACGGCCCAGACUCCUACGGGAGGCAGCAGUGGGGAAUAUUGGACAAUGGGCGCAAGCCUGAUCCAGCCAUGCCGCGUGAGUGAUGAAGGCCUUAGGGUUGUAAAGCUCUUUUGUCCGGGACGAUAAUGACGGUACCGGAAGAAUAAGCCCCGGCUAACUUCGUG